CCAUACUGACAUCAAAGGUGGAAGCUCAAGCUUAGUCACGCAAGAUUUACACACUACUGAGCAUGAGCAUUGAGAAUGUAACAAGGGUGUAUUCAGGGGCC